UAUGGAACCUGUAGAACCAGCCAGGCAGACAAAUGAGAAACAAUCUUUUGUCUACAGAAAGAAGGCAGCAAUCUGGCAUAAACCUGGAAAUCUUCGUCUGAUUUCAGACAGCUAAGUCUAGUCAUUCCGUUCCAUACAAC